rnacentral:rRNA from 1 species
GAGAAUGUUAUCACGGGAGACACACGGCGGGUGCUAACGUCCGUCGUGAAGAGGGAAACAACCCAGACCGCCAGCUAAGGUCCCAAAGUCAUGGUUAAGUGGGAAACGAUGUGGGAAGGCCCAGACAGCCAGGAUGUUGGCUUAGAAGCAGCCAUCAUUUAAAGAAAGCGUAAUAGCUCACUGGUCGAGUCGGCCUGCGCGGAAGAUGUAACGGGGCUAAACCAUGCACCGAAGCUGCGGCAGCGACGCUGAUGCGUUGUUGGGUAGGGGAGCGUUCUGUAAGCCUGUGAAGGUGUGCUGUGAGGCAUGCUGGAGGUAUCAGAAGUGCGAAUGCUGACAUAAGUAACGAUAAAGCGGGUGAAAAGCCCGCUCGCCGGAAGACCAAGGGUUCCUGUCCAACGUUAAUCGGGGCAGGGUGAGUCGACCCCUAAGGCGAGGCCGAAAGGCGUAGUCGAUGGGAAACAGGUUAAUAUUCCUGUACUUGGUGUUACUGCGAAGGGGGGACGGAGAAGGCUAUGUUGGCCGGGCGACGGUUGUCCCGGUUUAAGCGUGUAGGCUGGUUUUCCAGGCAAAUCCGGAAAACUAAGGCUGAGGCGUGAUGACGAGGCACUACGGUGCUGAAGCAACAAAUGCCCUGCUUCCAGGAAAAGCCUCUAAGCAUCAGGUAACAUCAAAUCGUACCCCAAACCGACACAGGUGGUCAGGUAGAGAAUACCAAGGCGCUUGAGAGAACUCGGGUGAAGGAACUAGGCAAAAUGGUGCCGUAACUUCGGGAGAAGGCACGCUGAUAUGUAGGUGAAGUCCCUCGCGGAUGGAGCUGAAAUCAGUCGAAGAUACCAGCUGGCUGCAACUGUUUAUUAAAAACACAGCACUGUGCAAACACGAAAGUGGACGUAUACGGUGUGACGCCUGCCCGGUGCCGGAAGGUUAAUUGAUGGGGUCAGCGCAAGCGAAGCUCUUGAUCGAAGCCCCGGUAAACGGCGGCCGUAACUAUAACGGUCCUAAGGUAGCGAAAUUCCUUGUCGGGUAAGUUCCGACCUGCACGAAUGGCGUAAUGAUGGCCAGGCUGUCUCCACCCGAGACUCAGUGAAAUUGAACUCGCUGUGAAGAUGCAGUGUACCCGCGGCAAGACGGAAAGACCCCGUGAACCUUUACUAUAGCUUGACACUGAACAUUGAGCCUUGAUGUGUAGGAUAGGUGGGAGGCUUUGAAGUGUGGACGCCAGUCUGCAUGGAGCCGACCUUGAAAUACCACCCUUUAAUGUUUGAUGUUCUAACGUUGACCCGUAAUCCGGGUUGCGGACAGUGUCUGGUGGGUAGUUUGACUGGGGCGGUCUCCUCCUAAAGAGUAACGGAGGAGCACGAAGGUUGGCUAAUCCUGGUCGGACAUCAGGAGGUUAGUGCAAUGGCAUAAGCCAGCUUGACUGCGAGCGUGACGGCGCGAGCAGGUGCGAAAGCAGGUCAUAGUGAUCCGGUGGUUCUGAAUGGAAGGGCCAUCGCUCAACGGAUAAAAGGUACUCCGGGGAUAACAGGCUGAUACCGCCCAAGAGUUCAUAUCGACGGCGGUGUUUGGCACCUCGAUGUCGGCUCAUCACAUCCUGGGGCUGAAGUAGGUCCCAAGGGUAUGGCUGUUCGCCAUUUAAAGUGGUACGCGAGCUGGGUUUAGAACGUCGUGAGACAGUUCGGUCCCUAUCUGCCGUGGGCGCUGGAGAACUGAGGGGGGCUGCUCCUAGUACGAGAGGACCGGAGUGGACGCAUCACUGGUGUUCGGGUUGUCAUGCCAAUGGCACUGCCCGGUAGCUAAAUGCGGAAGAGAUAAGUGCUGAAAGCAUCUAAGCACGAAACUUGCCCCGAGAUGAGUUCUCCCUGACUCCUUGAGAGUCCUGAAGGAACGUUGAAG